GCAGUACGGCUAGCGUGAUACUGCAGUCGUACGAACGUCUGGUAUAUGAUUGGUGCUUGCAUCAUGAUUUACAUUUGAGUGAGUGGCGAACUGGUGAGUAACACGUGGGAAACCUGCCCAGAAGCGGGGGAUAACACCUGGAAACAGAUGCUAAUACCGCAUAACAACUUGGACCGCAUGGUCCGAGUUUGAAAGAUGGCUUCGGCUAUCACUUUUGGAUGGUCCCGCGGCGUAUUAGCUAGAUGGUGGGGUAACGGCUCACCAUGGCAAUGAUACGUAGCCGACCUGAGAGGGUAAUCGGCCACAUUGGGACUGAGACACGGCCCAAACUCCUACGGGAGGCAGCAGUAGGGAAUCUUCCACAAUGGACGAAAGUCUGAUGGAGCAACGCCGCGUGAGUGAAGAAGGGUUUCGGCUCGUAAAACUCUGUUGUUAAAGAAAAACAUAUCUGAAAGUAACUGUUCAGGUAUUGACGGCAUUUAACCCGAAAGGCCCCCGGUAACUAGCUGGCCCUCCGCCCCGGGAAUUCCUAUGGGGGCCAGGGGUUCUCCCGGAUUUUUUGGGGCCUCAAGCAAGCCCAUGAGUUUUUUUCAUUCGGAGGGGAACCCCUUCCGGCUAAGCUAAAAAGUGCACCGAAACUGGGAAAAGUUGGAUGCCCUCAACGACAGUGAAUCUCCCUUUGCGGCAGGGAAAUUGCGGGGAUAUAUGGACGAAC
rnacentral:rRNA from 2 species